AUUGAACGCUGGCGGCAGGCCUAACACAUGCAAGUCGAGCGGUAGAGAGAAGCUUGCUUCUCUUGAGAGCGGCGGACGGGUGAGUAAUGCCUAGGAAUCUGCCUGGUAGUGGGGGAUAACGUUCGGAAACGAACGCUAAUACCGCAUACGUCCUACGGGAGAAAGCAGGGGACCUUCGGGCCUUGCGCUUUCAGAUGAGCCUAGGUCGGAUUAGCUAGUUGGUGAGGUAAUGGCUCACCAAGGCGACGAUCCGUAACUGGUCUGAGAGGAUGAUCAGUCACACUGGAACUGAGACACGGUCCAGACUCCUACGGGAGGCAGCAGUGGGGAAUAUUGGACAAUGGGCGAAAGCCUGAUCCAGCCAUGCCGCGUGUGUGAAGAAGGUCUUCGGAUUGUAAAGCACUUUAAGUUGGGAGGAAGGGCAUUAACCUAAUACGUUAGUGUUUUGACGUUACCGACAGAAUAAGCACCGGCUAACUCUGUG
rnacentral:rRNA from 1 species